rnacentral:rRNA from 1 species
UACGUAGGUGGCAAGCGUUGUCCGGAUUUACUGGGCGUAAAGAGCGCGCAGGCGGUCGAAUAAGUCGAAUGUGAAAGCCCCGGCUUAACUGGGGAGGUCAUUCGAUACUGCUCGACUUGAAGGCAGGAGAGGGUAGUGGAAUUCCCGGUGUAGUGGUGAAAUGCGUAGAUAUCGGGAGGAACACCAGUGGCGAAGGCGACUACCUGGCCUGUUCUUGACGCUGAGGCGCGAAAGCUGGGGGAGCAAACGGGG